rnacentral:tRNA from 1 species
GCCAACGUAGCUCAACGGAAGAGCGGCUGAUUUGUAAUCAGCAGGUUGGGGGUUCGAGUCCCUUCGUUGGCU